CUUCCUACGGGAGGCAGCAGUGGGGAAUAUUGCACAAUGGGGGAAACCCUGAUGCAGCGACGCCGCGUGGGUGAAGAAGUACUUCGGUACGUAAAGCCCUAUCAGCAGGGAAGAAAAUGACGGUACCUGAUUAAGAAGCCCCGGCUAACUACGUGCCAGCAGCCGCGGUAAUACGUAGGGGGCAAGCGUUAUCCGGAUUUACUGGGUGUAAAGGGAACGUAGACGGCAGAGCAAGUCUGAAGUGAAAGCCCGCGGCCCAACUGCGGGACUGCUUUGGAAACUGCCCGGCUAGCGUGCUGGGGAGG
rnacentral:rRNA from 1 species